GAUGAACGCUGGCGGCGUGCCUAAUACAUGCAAGUCGAGCGAACAGACGAGGCUCUUGCUCCUCUGACGUUAGCGGCGGACGGGUGAGUAACACGUGUAUAACCUACCUAUCAUACUGGGAUCACUUCGGGAAACCGGAGCUAAUACCGUAUAAUCUAUUGAACCGCAUUGUUCAAUAGUGAAAUACGGUUUUGCUGUCACUUAUAGAUGGAUCCGCGCCGCAUUAGCUAGUUGGUAAGGUAACGGCUUACCAAGGCAACGAUGCGUAGCCGACCUGAGAGGGUGAUCGGCCGCACGAGAACUGAGACACGGUCCAGACUACUAAGGGAGGCAGCAGUAGGGAAUCUUCCGCAAUGGGCGAAAGCCUGACGGAGCAACGCCGCGUGAGUGAUGAAGGUGUUCGGAGCGUAAAACUCUGUUACUAGGGAAGAACAAAUGUGUAAGGAAAUAUGCACGUAUUGACGGUACCUAAUCAGAAAGCCACGGCUAACUACGUG
rnacentral:rRNA from 1 species